rnacentral:rRNA from 1 species
CCUACGGGAGGCAGCAGUGGGGAAUUUUGGACAAUGGGCGAAAGCCUGAUCCAGCAAUGCCGCGUGAGUGAAGAAGGCCUUCGGGUUGUAAAGCUCUUUUGUCAGGGAAGAAACGGUAUGGGCUAAUAUCCCGUGCUAAUGACGGUACCUGAAGAAUAAGCACCGGCUAACUACGUGCCAGCAGCCGCGGUAAUACGUAGGGUGCAAGCGUUAAUCGGAAUUACUGGGCGUAAAGCGUGCGCAGGCGGUUUUGUAAGUUUGUCGUGAAAUCCCCGGGCUCAACCUGGGAAUGGCGAUGAAGACUGCAAGGCUAGAAUCUGGCAGAGGGGGGUAGAAUUCCACGUGUAGCAGUGAAAUGCGUAGAGAUGUGGAGGAACACCGAUGGCGAAGGCAGCCCCCUGGGUCAAGAUUGACGCUCAUGCACGAAAGCGUGGGGAGCAAACAGGAUUAGAUACCCUGGUAGUCCACGCCCUAAACGAUGUCUACUAGUUGUCGGGUUUUAAUUAACUUGGUAACGCAGCUAACGCGUGAAGUAGACCGCCUGGGGAGUACGGUCGCAAGAUUAAAACUUAAUGAAUUGACCGGNUGAGAGUGCGAGACGACGACGAGGAGAGG